rnacentral:misc_RNA from 1 species
AACGCACCUUGCACCCAGUGCGUAAGCUCUGGGUAUGCCUGUUUGAGAAUCGCAAACAUCCUCAACCAUUCGGUUGGACUUGGUCCCUCCCACGGACUGGAAUGCAGUAAGGGUCUAGUAACAGGACAUUGUGUGCCAGAGCGUCACAGUGGACAUUUACACGCCCUUUUCUUAAUCUCUCUUUUUUGAUCUCAAAUCAGGCAAGGCUACCCGCUGAACUUAA